rnacentral:rRNA from 1 species
UGGGGAAUCAUGGUCAAUGGGCGAAAGCCUGAACCUGCGACGCCGCGUGAGUGAUGAAGGUCGUAAGAUCGUAAAACUCUUUUCAGGGAUCUUAAAGCACAACCGUCAACAACGGCUGUGUGUGACUCUCCCUGGAAGAAGCCCCAGCCAACUACGCGCCAGCAGCUGCGGUAAUACGCAGGGGGCGAGCGUUAUUCGGAAUUACUGGGGGUAAAGGGUAUGUAGGCGGCCCUGCAAGUCGGGUGUCAAAGUCCAGGGCUCAA